rnacentral:RNase_P_RNA from 1 species
CGAGUUGGCUGGGCGACCGCGGCUCGAGUUGGACUUGUGUUAGCGCGCAAGGCCAGCGCCGAGUCGAGGAAAGUCCGGACUUCACAGAGCAGGGUGAUUGCUAACGGCAAUCCGAGGUGACUCGCGGGAAAGUGCCACAGAAACAAACCGCCACCUUCGUGGUGGUAAGGGUGAAACGGUGCGGUAAGAGCGCACCAGCAUCCCGGGCGACCGGGAUGGCUAGGCAAACCCCACCCGAAGCAAGGCCAAGAAGGCCGCACCGCAAGUGCGGCCGCGCAGACGUUCGAGGGUUGCUCGCCCGAGUCUGCGGGUAGGCCGCUCGAGGCACCCGGCAACGGUGUGCCCAGAUGGAUGGUCGCCGCCGUGCCGCCGUUGGUUCAGCCGCGGCGGUGGGGAACAGAAUCCGGCUUACAGGCCAACUCGCCCG